UACAGAGGGGGCAAGCGUUAUUCGGAAUUAUUGGGCGUAAAGGGCGCGUAGGCGGCUUUGCAAGUGACGGGUGAAAUCCCUCGGCUUAACCGAGGAACUGCCUGUCAGACUGCAUGGCUUGAGACCGGGAGAGGUGAGUGGAAUUCCCAGUGUAGCGGUGAAAUGCGUAGAUAUUGGGAGGAACACCAGUGGCGAAGGCGGCUCACUGGACCGGUACUGACGCUGAGGCGCGAAAGCUAGGGGAGCAAACGGG
rnacentral:rRNA from 1 species